CUGGGUAAUGGUAGAGGAUCAGCUGACUGGGUGCGUUCUCGCCCAGCAUCUGGACACCAUCGGGGAGAGGAAAACUGCAAUGAACACCUCCAGGGCGACCUGCACAAGCAAGGCCACACAGUGUCUGGCUUCCCCAGAAGCAAGUGAAGGUGCCGUGUGAAGAGGUUCACCUGGACGUUGAUGAGGGAGGUGAAGUGGAGCUCGUGUCCGGACCACUGACCCAAGAAGAACUCAUAACCCUCCUUCUGAGGCAAAGCGUAGAGAAACUGAGGGAGAAGGAAACCAGCGAGAGACGGAAGGGUCACAUGAGGAUUAGAAAUGUCAUGCACAUCGUAAAAUUAAAUUAUUAAUAACUUUC